rnacentral:rRNA from 1 species
UACGAAGGGGGCUAGCGUUGUUCGGAUUUACUGGGCGUAAAGCGCACGUAGGCGGAUCGAUCAGUCAGGGGUGAAAUCCCAGAGCUCAACUCUGGAGCUGCCUUUGAUACUGUCGAUCUGGAGUAUGGAAGAGGUGAGUGGAAUUCCGAGUGUAGAGGUGAAAUUCGUAGAUAUUCGGAGGAACACCAGUGGCGAAGGCGGCUCACUGGCCCGGUACUGACGCUGAGGUGCGAAAGCGUGGGGAGCAAACAGG